UAAUAGUUUAAACGUGUUGUUUAAUCCUGGGUGUGGGUGCUGCUGGUCGUCUCUCCGGCUUGACUUUGUAGAUACGAUGACAGAUCCAGUUGCUUGUGUUGGUUACUGUUGUGUUGGAGAGGAAGACUGUUGCUGCACCAGAUAUUAGAACUACACACCAGUGAUGGUCGAGGUCACCUUAUAUGUUGACACUUGACAUUACUCAAGCUCGUCAAUUUGUCAAUUUCAUGAGAAUGAUUUGACGGUGGAGGAUGCAAGGAAAGAUAAGUGGGGAAUGGACAUGUGCUGCACCAGAGACAACUGACACAGUACAAUGGACUGCUGUUGACUCCCCUUAAACGUCAGUCUGAAGAUUUGUGGAUGGUCCUGUUACCAAGUUGUACAGUACCACUGAGGUGCUGGACUGCUGUGCUGACUACUGCCCUGGACUUCUGUGCUGACUACUGCCCUGGGCCGCUGUGCUGACUGCUGCCCUGGACCGCUGUGCUGACUGCUGCCCUGGACCGCUGUGCUGACUGCUGCCCUGGACUGACUACUGCCCUGGGCCACUGUGCUGUCUGCUGCCCUGGACUGCUGUGCUGACUACUGCCCUGGGCCACUGUGCUGUCUGCUGCCCUGGACCGCUGUGCUGACUACUGCCCUGAGCCACUGUGCUGUCUGCUGCCCUGGACUGACUACUGCCCUGGGCCACUGUGCUGGCUACUGCAAUAUUAAUUUAUAAAGACAUUUUACUUAACAUGUCAUUAAUAAAAAUAUAAAUGUUA